rnacentral:rRNA from 1 species
AUAUCAAUAAGCGGAGGAAAAGAAACUAACAAGGAUUCCCCUAGUAACUGCGAGUGAAGCGGGAAAAGCUCAAAUUUAAAAUCUGAUGGUCUUUGGCCGUCCGAGUUGUAAUUUAGAGAAGCGUUUUCCGCGCUGGACCGUGCACAAGUCUCCUGGAAUGGAGCGUCAUAGAGGGUGAGAAUCCCGUCUUUGGCACGGAAUCCCUGGUGCUUCUGUGAUGCGCUCUCGAAGAGUCGAGUUGUUUGGGAAUGCAGCUCAAAAUGGGUGGUGAACUCCAUCUAAAGCUAAAUAUUGGCGAGAGACCGAUAGCGAACAAGUACCGUGAGGGAAAGAUGAAAAGCACUUUGGAAAGAGAGUGAAACAGUACGUGAAAUUGUUGAAAGGGAAACGCUUGGAGUCAGUCGCGUCGGCCGAGACUCAGCCUCGCCCUCGGCUUGGUGUACUUCUCGGCUGACGGGCCAGCAUCAAUUUUGCCCCUCGGAUAAUGGCAGGGGAAAGGUGGCACCUUUGCGGGUGUGUUAUAGUCUCCCGUCGCAUGCGAGGGGUGGGAUUGAGGAACUCAGCACGCCGCAAGGCCGGGUUUUAACCACGUACGUGCUUAGGAUGCUGGCAUAAUGGCUUUAAUCGA